rnacentral:rRNA from 1 species
AUUGAACGCUGGCGGCAUGCUUUACACAUGCAAGUCGAACGGCAGCGCGGGCUUCGGCCUGGCGGCGAGUGGCGAACGGGUGAGUAAUACAUCGGAACGUGCCCAGUAGUGGGGGAUAGCUCGGCGAAGGCCGGAUUAAUACCGCAUACGACCUGAGGGUGAAAGCGGGGGAUCUUCGGACCUCGCGCUAGUGGAGCGGCCGAUGGCAGAUUAGAUAGUUGGUGGGGUAAAGGCCUACCAAGGCGGCGAUCUGUAGCUGGUCUGAGAGGACGACCAGCCACACUGGGACUGAGACACGGCCCAGACUCCUACGGGAGGCAGCAGUGGGGAAUUUUGGACAAUGGGCGAAAGCCUGAUCCAGCAAUGCCGCGUGUGUGAUGAAGGCCUUCGGGUUGUAAAGCACUUUUGGCGGGAACGAAAAGGACUGUGCCAAUACCACGGUUCGAUGACGGUACCCGCAGAAUAAGCACCGGCUAACUACGUG